rnacentral:lncRNA from 1 species
CUUUCAUGUUAAUUUUGGGCCUGACAAGUUACUUAGCUUUCUUAUUCGUUUUAAUAACAUAUUGUUAAUUUACUUUGCUUUUUCAGGUAGAGACACUUUUGACUUGAUCUCUGCAGUCCUCAACAUGAGUGUGCUGAGAAAGUUUCCAUUAGGUGGACGUGUCUCUCCGUGGAAUAAAGCCCAAGGCGCAGCUGGCCUCUCAACUCAGGAAGUUUCUUUUAGAAUGUAAUAAAUGCUUAAAGAAGAAUUAUACUGUGAAUAGAACAGCAUGCAGCCUGGCACUUAGCAAGUGAUCGAGAAAUAAUUCAUGAGUGAAUGAAUGAACAGAUCACAGAUGUAACCAAAAAUCAAAACUAAAAUCACUUCUGAAGUCGUGGAUGCACUUCUCAGUAAGUAACUUUGGUUAUGAUAUCUCUGGUCCUUAAGGAAGAAUUCUGGCUGGGCACAGUGGCGCAUGCCUGUAAUCCCAGCACUUUGGGAGGCCAAGGAGAGUGGACCACUUGAGACCAGGUGUUUGAGACCAGCCUGGCCAACAUGGUGAAACCCCAUCUCUAAUAAAAAUAUAAAAAUUAGCCAGAUGUGGUGGUGGGUGCCUCUAAUCCCAGUUGCUUGGGAGGCUGAGGCAGGAGAAUCGCUUGAAUCCAGGAGGUAGAGGUUGCAGUGAGCCGAGAUCAUGGGCACUCCAGCCCAGGUGACAGAGUGAGACCUGUUUCAAAAUAAUAAUAAUAAUAAUAAUAAUUUCUGAG